GCAGAAGAUAGCAUACACUUGAUCUUUGAC
rnacentral:piRNA from 1 species